UGCUUUGCCAAACUCUCUAGUUUAUUUCAUAAUUAUAACAUCUUAAUAUUCAUUGAUUAUACAGCACAUAACCAAUACUCAACCUAGAAGUGGCAUCAAUCACCUUUCAUCCCAUACCUGUCUUUUUCUUAUGGCACUGUUUAUCACAGCUGUGGGCAGAUGUGUUCCUGCCUGAUGAAACCUCCGUUUCCUAGAGGUAGAAGGGUUCUAUGCAUCCUAGAAGUUCUGUGCAUUCAGUCCUCCAUUGUAUUCUUGUACCUAUAGGCCUUUAAUGUGGCAACUACUAUUUCAUUUUGAUGAGGAGAAAGAAAAGCCAUUUCUGUCUCUUCAAAACAACUCACUUGCUGUUUUUUCCAAGAAAACGCUCUGUUACAGACCCAAAUGGAUAUGAUGGAAAACUGCCCAUCUCUGGGAAACCCAUCAGAAGAUUCUGCAGCACCCCAAACUAGGCAUCCAGACAUGGGUUUUGAUACUUUGAAGGCCUUUUCACACACGAAAACACCACAGCCUAGAAGGGCUAUCUGAAAGAAUUCAUGUACAGUCUCAAUCACAACUAAACCUGUAACAAUGACACCAGUUCAAAGGAACUGAGUGGAAUAAGCCCCUAACUUCAUUCUGGCACAACUGCAAGCUAGUAUUUGUAGGACACUAUCACUACAGCAAAACACAGAGGCUGCUGAAAGUCUUUACAAUUCCCUACAUGAUCACAAAUAAAAGAACCUCUGAAAAGUUUUUAUCUAGAUACUAGCAAUGUCUUUUCCAGGCACUAAGUCAGUUCUCUCACUUAAACAGCAGCUUUUACUUACUUCAUUCACUGAAGCAGAAGCACAGACAUUGUGAGUUUUCUGGCUUCCAGUAUCUGUCUGUCUUUCUCCCCACCCAUAGAGAGCAAAUGGAUGUUUAUUCUCCUUUGGUCCAUCUGUCUUCUGAGGACUUCUGGUUGAUCUUCGAUCGUUACGACUGGACAAGGCACUUUGGCUUGGACGUCGUCCUGUACGGCUGGUUUUAUCUGCAUCCUUCGUGGAAGUUUUAUCUGCUUCCUUUGUGGAAACAGCAAGCAGAUGGACUGCUAAGUAGCAGGUAGAUGCUGCCAGCCAGAGAAUAAUCUCUCAUACUAUAAGCUUUGACUGAAAGAAGUGAUUCCUUUUCGAACUCCCUGAUUAUUCAUACAGGCAUCGAUUGUUUGCGUGCAGAGGAAAGAGGAGUAUGAUGCUACUGGUUAUGGAAAGAUUCCUGCACUGGUGUUGAAUGAAAUAAUCUAGUUUAAGGCUUGCUUGCAUAUUGCAGUGUUGACCACAGACAAUAACAAAUUUUACUUAAGUACUGUCAUUAAAAGCAGAAGGACUUGCCCAUCCGUACGACACAACAAGGAUCAUUCAUGCUAAUUGCUUUGAUUUAGCAAAUCACCUUCAUGCAUGAGCAAUCUGACACUGCUUUAGUUUCAUUACAGCAUCCAGCCAGCUUUGCCAGAACAGACAUAACCUACCUAGCACACUGAUUACCAAUCCAGUAGUGCUUUUGAUCCUUGCAGCACAGAGGUAUUCCCUUGCAAAAGCUUAUUACCCACAAGUUUCUCUACGCUGCCACUCCUAAGAGGGGACUGGUUUGGUCCUCCUUCUGCAUAUCACACCACUGGUUUGAGCACUUUUUUGAGCACUGCAGUGAUAUUUCAGAAAGACACUGAAGGAAGGCAUAUUGUUGUUGAAUCUGAUAAGAGUGCUUUUGUUUUGGUAUGUCAAACCUUGCCUUCAAGGAAAAACCUUCCAUGUCUACAGCAGAACAGAGAUGGCAUUUAAAGCCUUCAAAUUAAAGAAAAGAGGGGAGUCUCCAUGAUUGCAUUGGGAGCAUAGCUUUAAGUUAUUACUUCAAGGCAACAGACAAGCCUGGAUACAGCUCGCUCAGAUAACAGUCCCAGCUGGUGCAGAAAUGAUGAAGCCAACUUGUCCCAAAAUAGCUAUAAAAGCAUAUGACUAAGUGGCAUGCAGAAUCUUGUACAGUCUUGCAGUAAAUGCUGUAUACCAGAGUAUACUUUGGCACCUUACGUGCACCUGCUAUUACAGCAGGUAUUUUAAUGAGCUCACUCCCACAGUUCACAUAUAUAAAACUCAGAAGGUACAAGGUGGAUGCUUUAAACAGCCAAUUACAAUUUAUAUCCAAGCUAUUUUGCUAGGCACUCCUUGCAGCAAGGAGAAAAGCAGCAGUUAUAGCAAGGGAGGAACCAAACCCAGCUACUCAGGAAGCCCAACUGUCAGCAAAAUCUAUCUCCUUCCCCCAUAGUGUGCCAGCUCAGGCAGGCACUGCUAAAUGCAUGCUGCGAAUAGAAAAGGAAACUCAACUGACUUGCUGGGGCAUUACAGGGAUUAGCCAGCAUAGGGAAAAAGCUAGGAACAUUUAAAAACCGCAUCAUGGAUGCUAAACAGAGCACACUGGACAGGAGGGGAUUAAGUGCUUAGCAGCAGAACCAGGCUGCCAGGCCCACCCAACACAGCAGUAGAAAGCUCCUGCCCAGAAGAGGUCACUUGAGUCCUCCUGCAUCACCCAACUUACAUAACAGCUCCUCUCCAGUGGCCUGAAGAGGAGCUGAUGGUGCUUUCCCCGCCUUCUAAAGCUGUGCAUGCUCUACCAGGCUGAUGAGACCUCCAAGGCAAAGGCUCUGCUGACUUGCUGGAGGUACCAACCUUCUGGUCAGAUACACAAGUCUGAGAGGUCAGCGCUACUAUCUUUACAUAGAAGUGUUUGCCCCUUACUACCUCAGGUUUGGAAGCAUUUUGUAAUAAAGCAGGAAAAACUGGGUCAUCUUAACUGCUCCCAGUCAUCUCGAGAGCUACCCUGUUCAAACACACCAGCUCCCAGAACAGGUACCAAACAAGCAGUCUCCUACACACCAUGACAGCUUGAGCAGGUCCCAACUGCGCAGGUCUUCAAGGCCUGAAGAGGGGCACUAACUGACUACAGCUGGGCAGAAAAUAGUUACUAUUUACUACAGCUGAAACAGGCUGCAGCAGCAUUGCUUCAAGAUCAGUCUCAUGUGAGGCACUGGCACAGUAUCUGAGUGACCAGCAACACAGCAGUUGAGUUGAUUAGAUUCACCAGCUGAAGAAAGUUGUACCUAGCUUGACUUGACAGCAAAACUUGUUUCAACCCAAAAGACACUGAAGUAUCCUUGAAUCACUGUAAAUUCCUGAACUGACACUGUUAGUCGUUUUCUCCACCAUCAGCCACCACUCCCUGGGCAGCUGGGUCAGCAAGCAUUCCUACAGCAUCAUGACAGAUCAGGGAACAAGUUUGAGACUGGGUCUUCUACCCAGAUGCACUAAUCCAGUCUAUUGUGUGGCAACUGUUUUGACACAAAGUUGUCACUGCUGUCAUUUAAAACUUCUGUAUAAAGUGCUAUGAAGGCAAAAAAGUCAUAAUAAGGCUGGAAAGAUGGCCUAAUCCUGGAUGUGUGUGCAACAGUAUCAUUUCACAAGGAGCAGGUUUGCUUGCAGUACUGCUGCCAAGAGCUCCUGUCAUUCACUUACCAGACCAUGGGGUUGACAGCUUUGAGUAUGUGUCAACUAGACCAGUUGAUUUCGGUCAGGAUUUUACUGGAUCAUGUCCAGGCCCAAAUGCAUUCUACAGAGCAGUCUAAGUUUAAAAAAAAAAAAAAACAAAAAAAAACACCACACAAAACAGGUAAUUGUUUCUUGAAGAAAAACACUGCAUGUGUGAUUUCAGCAACAUUACUGCUGGCCAAGCACACUCCGCCACAAACUCUUAGCAGAAAUCUGGUUCCCUCCAGAAGAGAGAGAAGCAUCAGUAGCCAGGUAACAACCCAACCAGGAUGCUGCAGCAUGUGGGUGGGUGUCAGAUUCAGAAGACAAAAAACAUCACUGACAUUAGCACACUCACUGCUCCCACAGCAUUUCAGUGUAAUUAAGUCCUUUCAGAAAACAAGCAGUCUAAUAAUGAAAGAUUCACGGGGUGGUGGUUUGUAUGUUAUAUCCUCUGUGCUUUUUAAUUAUGAAGUCACUGAACAAAAGAAAAUAGCACCUUCAUAAUUGCUUAAUACCGAGUCGCUUGCUUUCUGAUUGUACAGUAAGCUGUCCAUGAAUAUACAAUAAAUUUCCACUUAAUCCA